CCUUAUUCUCUAGGUGGGCACCUGAUUGCCCAAACUUGAACUUUAUUCCCUUGUUCUCAGGUGGGCGCCUGAUUGCCGAAACUUGAACUGUAUUCCCUUGUUCUCCAGGUAGGCGCUUGAUUACCAAAACUUGAACUGUAUUCCCUGUUUCUCCAGGUGGGAGCCUAAUAGCGAAAACUUGAACUGCAUUCCUUUGUUCUCUAGGUGGGCGCCUGAUUGCCGAAAUUUGAACUGUAUUCCUUUAUUCUCCAGGUGGGCGCCUGAUUGCCAAAACUUGAACUGUAUUCCCUUAUUUUCCAGAUGGGGGCGAUUGCCAAAACUUUAACUAUACUCCCUUGUUCUCCAGGUGGGUGCCUGAUUGCCAAAACUUGAAUUGUAUGCCCUUGUUCUCCAGGUAGGCGCCUGAUUACCAAAACUUGAACUGUAUUCCCUGUUUCUCCAGUUGGGCACCUAAUAGCGAAAACUUGAACUGCAUUCCUUUGUUUUCUAGGUGGGCGCCUGAUUGCCAAAACAUGAACUGUAUUCCCUUAUUCUCCAGGUGGGCGCCUGAUUGCCAAAACUUGAACUGUAUUCCCUUAUUUUCCAGAUGGGUGCCUGAUUGCCAAAACUUUAACUAUAUUCCCUUAUUCUCUAGGUGGGUACCUUAUUGCCAAAACACAAAUUGUAUGCCCUUGUUCUCCAGGUGGGCACCUGAUUGCGCAAACUUGAACUGUAUUCCCUUGUUCUCAGGUGGGUGCCUGAUUGCCAAAACUUGAUUUGUAUUCCCUUGUUCUCCAGGUGGGUGCCUGAUUGCCCAAACUUGAACUGUAUUCCUUUGUUCUCAGUUGGGUGCCUGAUUGCCA
rnacentral:lncRNA from 1 species